GACGAACGCUGGCGGCGUGCCUAAUACAUGCAAGUUGAGCGCUGAAGGUUGGUACUUGUACCGACUGGAUGAGCAGCGAACGGGUGAGUAACGCGUGGGGAAUCUGCCUUUGAGCGGGGGACAACAUUUGGAAACGAAUGCUAAUACCGCAUAAAAACUUUAAACACAAGUUUUAAGUUUGAAAGAUGCAAUUGCAUCACUCAAAGAUGAUCCCGCGUUGUAUUAGCUAGUUGGUGAGGUAAAGGCUCACCAAGGCGCUGAUACAUAGCCGACCUGAGAGGGUGAUCGGCCACAUUGGGACUGAGACACGGCCCAAACUCCUACGGGAGGCAGCAGUAGGGAAUCUUCGGCAAUGGACGAAAGUCUGACCGAGCAACGCCGCGUGAGUGAAGAAGGUUUUCGGAUCGUAAAACUCUGUUGGUAGAGAAGAACGUUGGUGAGAGUGGAAAGCUCAUCAAGUGACGGUAACUACCCAGAAAGGGACGGCUAACUACGUGCCAGCAG
rnacentral:rRNA from 1 species